UACGUAGGGGGCGAGCGUUGUCCGGAUUCAUUGGGCGUAAAGAGCUCGUAGGCGGUUUGGCAAGUCGGGUGUGAAAACUCCGGGCUCAACUCGGAGACGCCACUCGAUACUGCUAUGACUCGAGUCCGGUAGGGGAGUGCGGAAUUCCUGGUGUAGCGGUGAAAUGCGCAGAUAUCAGGAGGAACACCGGUGGCGAAGGCGGCACUCUGGGCCGGAACUGACGCUGAGGAGCGAAAGCGUGGGGAGCGAACAGG
rnacentral:rRNA from 1 species